GACGAACGCUGGCGGCGUGCUUAACACAUGCAAGUCGAACGGAAAGGCCCUGCUUUUGUGGGUUGCUCGAGUGGCGAACGGGUGUGUAACACGUGAGUAACCUGCCCUUGACUUUGGGAUAACUUCAGGAACCUGGGGCUAAUACCGGAUAGGAGCUCCUGCUGCAUGGUGGGGGUUGGAAAGUUUCGGCGGGUGGGGAUGGACUCGCGGCUUAUCAGCUUGUUGGUGGGGUAGUGGCUUACCAAGGCUUUGACGGGUAGCCGGCCUGAGAGGGUGACCGGCCACAUUGGGACUGAGAUACGGCCCAGACUCCUACGGGAGGCAGCAGUGGGGAAUAUUGCACAAUGGGCGGAAGCCUGAUGCAGCGACGCCGCGUGCGGGAUGACGGCCUUCGGGUUGUAAACCGCUUUCGCCUGGGACGAAGCGUGAGUGACGGUAAUGGGUAAAGAAGCACCGGCUAACUACGUG
rnacentral:rRNA from 1 species